GUGACUUUUGACCUGCAGACUGUUCUCGCAAAAGGCAAACCAGACAUACACUCUGGGGAUUCCUGCAAGAAGGAACACAUAGUCUUUGAAUUUCUUGGCAUCUGUGAUGUGAGUCAUGAAUUUUAUAGAUGCAGAAAUUGGAAGAGGAGUGACUUGCACAAGGCCAGACAGCAAGUCUAAGAAUAACCACGCAACCGCCAGAACUACUUGGCCUGCAGCCCAUCCCUAGGCCACCACUGUACUAGGUGUAAACUUUAGUAGGAGAUCGUGAGGAUGACCCAUUGAGAGGAAAUGUGACCCAAGCCAAGACCACAUAACCCCUGAAAAGGAAAGGCAAUCUUGGCCGUAUGUCUAUCUUGUCCAGCUGAAGGAAGAAAUACAGACUUCCAGUGUGUCCUGCCCCUCCUACCUGCACACAUACUUUGAGGCCUUUUAAGCCCCAAGUUGGAGUUCAGUCAGAGCAGCUUGGAUGGUGGUUCAUCUAUUACUGAAGCAAAGAAAAGAAAAGGAAUUUCUCUUUUCGCAAGAGGCUGGCAUUAACAGAUAUAAUCUUUUUUGUUUGUUUGUUUGUUUUUUGUU